rnacentral:misc_RNA from 1 species
GCUACUACCGAUUGAAUGGUUUAGUGAGGACUCCUGAUUGGCGCCGCCGCCCCGGCAACGGAGCAGUGGACUGCCGAAAAGUUGUUCAAACUUGAUCAUUUAGAGGAAGUAAAAGUCGUAACAAGGUUUCUGUAGGUGAACCUGCAGAAGGAUCAUGAUCGCAAGAGGGUCGUGUAGGGAAAGAGGUUAGAUCGCGGUGGUGGCAGUAUCAUUAAAAAAAAAAAACAAUGUACUGCGCUCAACCUGUUUAUCAGCCCCCGUCGACACUGUGUCACUU